rnacentral:lncRNA from 10 species
GUGUGUGUGUGCAUGUGUGCCCAGGUGUAUGAAUGUGUUGAUGGGUGUAUGGGAAUGUGUACAUGAAAUGUGUGCGUAUGUGUGUGCAUGUGUGCCCAGGUGUAUGACUGUGUGGAUAAAUGUGUGGGAUGUGUCCAUGGGGUGUAUGCGCGCGUGUGUGUGCGUGUGUGCCCAGGUAUGAGUGUGUGGAUGGGUGCACGUGUGGGGCGUGUGCACAUGUGUGAGUGUGUGUGCCCAGGUGGAUGAGUGUGUGGAUAGGUGCAUGUGUGGGAUAGGUGCAUGUGUGGGAUAGGUGCAUGUGUGGGAUGUGUGCAUGGAGUGUCUGCACGUGUGAGUGUGUGUGUGCCCAGGUGGAUGAGUGUGUGGAUGGGUGUGUGGGGGGUGUGCAUGGGGUGCGUGCACAUGUGUGAGCGUAUGUGUGCCCAGGUGUAUGAGUGUGUGGAUAGGUGCAUGUGUGGGAUGUGUGCAUGGAGUGUCUGCACAUGUGUGAGUGUGUGUGCGCCCACGUGGAUGAGUGUGUGGAUGGGUGUGUGUGGGCUGUGCAUGGGGUGUGUGCACAUGUGUAACUAGAUGUAUGAGUGUGUACAUGUGCACAUGUGUGCGUGCAUGUAUCCACAUUUGUGA